ACUAUUGGAAACGAUAGCUAAUACCGCAUGAAAUUGCUUAUCGCAUGAUAAUUAAUUGAAAGAUGCAAUUGCAUCACUACCAGAUGGACCUGCGUUGUAUUAGCUAGUUGGUGAGGUAACGGCUCACCAAGGCGACGAUACAUAGCCGACCUGAGAGGGUGAUCGGCCACACUGGGACUGAGACACGGCCCAGACUCCUACGGGAGGCAGCAGUAGGGAAUCUUCGGCAAUGGGGGGAACCCUGACCGAGCAACGCCGCGUGAGUGAAGAAGGUUUUCGGAUCGUAAAGCUCUGUUGUAAGAGAAGAACGGGUGUGAGAGUGGAAAGUUCACACUGUGACGGUAUCUUACCAGAAAGGGACGGCUAACUACGUGCCAGCAGCCGCGGUAAUACGUAGGUCCCGAGCGUUGUCCGGAUUUAUUGGGCGUAAAGCGAGCGCAGGCGGUCAGAUAAGUCUGAAGUUAAAGGCUGUGGCUUAACCAUAGUAUGCUUUGGAAACUGUUUAACUUGAGUGCAGAAGGGGAGAGUGGAAUUCCAUGUGUAGCGGUGAAAUGCGUAGAUAUAUGGAGGAACACCGGUGGCGAAAGCGGCUCUCUGGUCUGUAAC
rnacentral:rRNA from 1 species